rnacentral:rRNA from 1 species
AACGAACGCUGGCGGCGCGUCUUAAGCAUGCAAGUCGAACGGCAAGAUUGGUGCUUGCACCGAUCCUAGAGUGGCGGACUGGUGAGUAACGCGUAGGUGACGUACCCUAAGGAUGGGGAUAGCUGGUAGAAAUAUCAGAUAAUACCGAAUAUCCUUAUUGUUGUUAGAGGACAGUAAGGAAAGGAGCUUUGGCUUCGCCUAAGGAUCGGCCCGCGUACUACUAGCUAGUUGGUGAGGUAACGGCUCACCAAGGCGACGAUAGUUAUCCGGCCUAAGAGGGUGAACGGACACAUUGGGACUGAGAUACGGCCCAGACUCCUACGGGAGGCAGCAGCUAAGAAUAUUCCGCAAUGGAGGAAACUCUGACGGAGCGACGCCGCGUGGAUGAUGAAGGCCGGAAGGUUGUAAAAUCCUUUUAAGCAAGAAGAAUAAACUUUACAGGGAAUGGUAGAGUGGUGACGGUAUUGCUUGAAUAAGCAACGGCUAAUUACGUGCCAGCAGCCGCAGUAAUAC